UGCAUGUCUAAGUAUAAGCCUUUAUACGGUGAAACUGCGAAUGGCUCAUUAAAACAGUUAUCGUCUCCUUGACAGUUCAUACUACAUGGAUACCUAUGGUAAUUCUAGAGCUAAUACAUGCCUACAGACCCGACUCACGAAGGGUUGUGCUUAUUAGAUACUACACCAACUGUCUCCGGACAGUUAUGCUGACUCAUAGUACCCAGCGAAUCGCAUGCUUCGGCGGCGAUGUGUCAUCCGAGUUUCUGACCUAUCAGCUUUCGACGGUAGGGUAUUGGCCUACCGUUGCUUUGACGGGUAACGGAGAAUUAGGGUUCGAUUCCGGAGAGGGAGCCUGCGAAACGGCUACCACAUCUAAGGAAGGCAGCAGGCGCGCAAAUUACCCAAUCCUGACUCAGGGAGGUAGUGACAAGAAAUAACAAUACUGAGCCUUUCAGGUUUAGUAAUUGGAAUGAGAACAAUUUAGAUCCCUUAUCGAGUAUCAAUUGGAGGGCAAGUCUGGUGCCAGCAGCCGCGGUAAUUCCAGCUCCAAUAGCGUAUAUUAAAGUCGUUGCGGUUAAAAAGCUCGUAGUUGGAUUUCUGCAUGGAAGGAGCGGUCCACCCUUUGGGUGAGUUACUGCUACCUUUUGUGCAUCUUCCUGAGAAGGCGUUCUUCACUUAAUUGUGAGGCCGCAUGACUCAGGACGUUUACUUUGAGGAAAUGAGAGUGUUUCAAGCAGGCAAAUGCCUUGAGUACGUUAGCAUGGAAUAAUAGCAUCGGACCAUCGUCAUGCUGUUGGUGUCAUGGCGAAGGUAAAGGUGAAUAGGGAUUGUUGGGGGCAUUCGUAUUUAACUGUCAGAGGUGAAAUUCUUGGAUUUGUUGAAGACGGACUACUGCGAAAGCAUCUG
rnacentral:rRNA from 1 species